AACGAACGCUGGCGGCAUGCCUAACACAUGCAAGUCGAACGAGACCUUCGGGUCUAGUGGCGCACGGGUGCGUAACGCGUGGGAACCUGCCCUUAGGUUCGGAAUAACUCCCCGAAAGGGGUGCUAAUACCGGAUAAUGUCUUCGGACCAAAGAUUUAUCGCCUUUGGAUGGGCCCGCGUUGGAUUAGCUAGUUGGUAGGGUAAAAGCCUACCAAGGCGACGAUCCAUAGCUGGUCUGAGAGGAUGAUCAGCCACACUGGGACUGAGACACGGCCCAGACUCCUACGGGAGGCAGCAGUGGGGAAUACUGGACAAGGGGCGAAAGCCUGACACAGCAAUGCCGCGGGAGUGAUGAAGGCCUUAGGGUUGUAAAGCUCUUUUACCCGGGAUGAUAAUGACAGUACCGGGAGAAUAAGCUCCGGCUAACUCCGUG
rnacentral:rRNA from 1 species